rnacentral:rRNA from 1 species
UACGGAGGAUGCAAGCGUUAUCCGGAUUUAUUGGGUUUAAAGGGUGCGCAGGUUGUUUGAUAAGUCAGUGGUGAAAGUCUGUCGCUUAACGGUAGGAUUGCCAUUGAUACUGUUGGACUUGAAUAUGGAUGAGGUAGGCGGAAUGUGUAGUGUAGCGGUGAAAUGCAUAGAUAUUACACGGAACACCGAUUGCGAAGGCAGCUUACUAAUCCAUCAUUGACGCUGAGGCACGAAAGCGUGGGGAUCAAACAGGAUUA